GUCUGCUAACUUAUCCAAAAGAUGGCCUCUUUCUGAGGCAUCCAUUCUCCUCCAAACAGAGCCAAGGGAAAAAGCCAGCCGAGCUGCCCUCACUGCCUUGUCCGUGUCAACCUGGGAAGAAGAAAAUUGAAGACACAAGGGCUGUGUUUACAAAGACGGGGACCUUGGAAAGCUUGAUGAGUUCCAAUCAGAGAUACACAGCAGAGGCAGUAAUGUCAGAGCAAGAAGAUAAAAGGACAACUUUGCUGCUGUACUGAGGUGUCCCUGGCAGUGCAGUGAUUUAGCCAAGAACAAACCCAAGAGGCCAAGCAGCCAAGGCUGUUGUGAGCGAGUCUGCUGUGAGUCUGGCUGCAGCUGGUGUGAGAGCAUGUUGUGAGGCACUCCUGGGAAUGACUGGAAACCAACAGCUGGCUAUGGAAUCAGCAAAAACCUGGUUUGUAAGAAGGCACUAGGAAAGCAAAAGCCAGUGCCAGCAGUCUGCUGGCUGAAUGACCAGCGAUGGAUCAGCAGUGCCAUUUCAUUUUAUUUUUAAGAGGGUUGUUCAGGUGACCAGCAAGUGUCACAGCUUCUUGCUGGCAGUUCACAAAAGGUGAGUAAUGGGCUUCAAGGCCAACCUCCCCAAGGAGGUUGCAGGAUCCUGCUUCUGAGCCAUGAAGGAUCCUGUGUGGGCAGUGCCAGGGGCUGUGCUGCUCUCAGGGGACAGCCGUGCACGAGCCAAGGCAGCCUGGCUGCCCAGCACCUCAGCACAGGUGGUUCUCAUCUUGUUCUUUACCCCCCAGCAGAAUCAUCCUCAGAAGUUACCCAGAUUUGGGGUCUUUAGUGAGAUGCCUUUCAGCUGUGGAGGAACUGCAAUUGUAUGAGAGUAACUAACAGUGAACUGUAGAGGAACAACAUUGCACCAAAUCUAAUUCGGGCAACCAAAUUCCCGUGGGCAUAGCUGGUUUUCAGCUACAAGAGGGCCAAGGGUCCAGAGUAGAACAAAAGGAAAAAAAUCCAGCUGGUUUCAGUGGGAGCUGAACCAGGCCCCAGCUGAGGAAAAGGAAUCAGUGGCAAGAGCCUCCAGAGGGAUGUUUGUACUGGGAAACAAAGCUGUUUCACUGGAAACUUGACACAUGCUCUAGAGCCUGUGAGGUCUGAAAGGCCAAACAAAACCAGAACAUGUUGAUUUUUAUUUUUCCUCUUUGGCUGCUGGGUUGUACUUCUCUCUCCUUACUCACACCCCCCACACUGUAAAAAUAGAAAAAGAAAGAAAGAAAAAAAUUGAAAAGGAAAAAGACCUCUGUUCUAAAGCUUUGUGUGCUGUGAGGUGCUUCAUCUUUUUUAAAAUCUUAUUUGGACCUCAGAGCCUGAUUGAAUAAUGCUAUAGCUUUUGGACCUGGUGUACCAUAAAUGUGGCUUUCCUUCAUAAAUUCAAGCUUGAAAUUGCACUCAAGAAAUCUAGAGGGCAAACUUGUGAGUGUACUGAGAGGGUUGGAGAAUUUAAAACCUUUACAAACACAGUACAGCAGUAGGACCAGAAAAGUGGAAUUGGAAAUAAACUGCCCAAGAAGUGAGUAGUUUCACUGUGCAGCAGUGCAGCCAGCUCUGGUACAAUUUCGUUUGUGCCAGCCCAGCCCUGUGCCAAGGCUAGGUGUCUGAUGAGAAGACCAGGGUGUUUGCCUUCUCUGGGUGCUAAUCCCAAGUAGCAAGGCCUGAGUCAACUCUACCAAAAUGAAAGCCAGUGCUUCAUACCAGUGGACUUUGGAUCAGAAGCCAAGUGUUUGAAAGAGGUGAGUACAUCAAGGUUCGGUGACAUUUCAGCAUGUGUAAAUUAAGUCAGGCUUCAGUGUGGCCAACAUGAGCUGGAGGAGGAUUCCCAGGAUGCAGCCCUAAUGGUGGCAGGAGUUUGGUCUCUUUUCAGUCCCAGAGAGGUGGAAGGAGAGGGCAAAGUAGGACCUGUCUGCAGGGGCUGCUGCCCUGUUCUGCUCACCUGGAUGUUCAGGUGCUUAAAGGCAGAUAGGGCAAGUCCCCCACUGAGCCUGCUCACAGACAAAAGAGGUUUAGGGAAUGGUAUGCUUGGAAAAGGGUGUGAUGGGAGGAGAAACUGGAGGCAUCCAGCGUCUCUGAGCAGCAAAUGGAAUCAGAGAAAGGUUUGAAGCCUCCCGUCAGUCUGCUGUGAAAGUGGAAUGUAACAUGAUUUUUUCUCCCCUAUGUCCCUCAUCCCUCACGCCAAAUGUUUGACCUGCCUGUCUUCCUGUCUUAAUUAGUCUUCUGUCUUUCUGGGAGUUGGGUCUGUUCUUCUGCAAAUGGCAGCACAUCAGACAGGGGAAACCUGUCAUGUUUGUUUUCUAAGCUGUAGGGGGUACCCAUUUGAAAAAACUCCCAGCUUAUCUAAACAUUUUUGUUUGUAUGAUUUUGAAUUAGGAAGUGUGAGUAAUUAGUUAAGAAGAUUAAAUAAGUCUUAGCAACAUGCAGUAGCAUGCUUACUUUCCUCCUCCCCCCCCAAGUAUUUCCUGCACAAAACCCAGGCUGCCAAACUGUGAUGAUACCCUUUUCUAUUUUAGUUUCUCACUGUGCCACAUGCUGGUACAGCAUCCGUUAUUUCAAUUCAGUCUCAUUAAAGGGAUUAUGUUGUGCCUGGUUGUUCAAGAAAAUUAAUCUAAAGAGAAGAAACUUCAGAUUGUAUUGUCUGUUGAACUAUACCCACCACAAACAUUUUACUCCUUUUGGCUGCCUUAUUAAACCUGUGGGAAGAAACUUUCGUUGCAGCACAUAAAAGCCUUCCUCAAAGUAAUUUUUACUUUUUUCAGUUAAUGAAGAAUUUGUCUGCUGUUAGUAGAACAAUACAGGAGCAAUAACAUAGCUCAGGUAAUAUUUCAUGUAUUCCUAAGAAACUAAGCUCCCAAGCUUUACUUAUCCUUUCAUCAGUGGGACUCUUUAAUUGCUGGAGAAGAACAUUUACUCUCUUCAGAAAACAUUGCUUGUGAAAUCAGGAUGAGUAAAAAAUUAACUGUGCUUUCCAUUUUCACUAAUUACAAAGACAAACUAUCACUGGAUGAAUUGGGUAAGGGUGGCAGUGGUUUUGAUGGAGUAUGAUCCUUGGUAUCACUUUUUGCACCUUAAAAAGUGAAAUAAUGAAAGAUUUUUUAAAAUCCACUAAAUUGAGAGUGGAGAGGAGGAGUAUUUGUUUACAUAAUCAAUUAUUGGGCUGUCACUGGGCUUUAAUGAAGUUGUGGCUAUUAAGAACUUGAUCCUGGAAACCCUUCCACAAGUGCUCAUUUGAAAUGGUGGGAAUGAGGAGGGGUUUGUACAAACAAGACUCGUAUUACUCUGUGUAGUUCUCUUGUGUUUUGCAUUGUUUGUGCAUUGCAAGUCUUGUGUUCUCCUUAUAUGUGACAGAAAACAGUUUGAGCUAUUAAUCUGUACAUGGGAAAUAUGUUCUGCCAUUUGGAAGAAUUUAAUCUCCCUUGUAAGUAACUGCCAUUUUAAAUGUUCAUCACCAGGAUCAAGUUCUUACUUAGAAAUUAGCUGUGCUGCAUAAAUAAAUAUUCCUCCUAGGAUUUCAGACAUUAUAGACAACACAGAAAAAUACAAUAAGCAAAUUUAUUUUGACUUAAAGCUCUGCCUGAGAAAAUUACCUUAUAACUACACAUGAGAAAUUGCUGGAAUGUCAGCUUCAUUUGCAGUGGCCCCUUAUGGCCUGAUCACCCUCCCUGGCACGAUAAAUCACUGGCAAGAUCCUUACCUUAACACGUUUGAUCUCAGCUCAGCAAGACUUGGUUUUGAUGUGAAGAACUCCAGAUCUGUUAGGUCAGAGACAAAUAGCAGAGCCACUGACCUGCAAAGUGCUAAGUCUAUAUUAGACCCAAGUGAGCAGCCUUAAGCUCCUGAAAAGUUUGCCUUCGCUUCUACUUUGCAUCUUGAAGCUUUUCAAAUAUUACUGUUAGCAUGUUUUGUUAAUGAUGCCAGAGACAUUUCCUUUUGUGCUGUUCUGCAGGUACAGAAGCCACAAAAAGCUUGUGGUGUGAGAAGCAUUAUCUUCAAUAAACUGUUAGAAUUAUCUGCACUUUGGAGAGACAUGAAAUAAGCCUCAUUAUUUAUUGGUUUCUUUACCUAAUUUACACAAAUGGCUUGCACUGGCCUCUUUCUUACUAGACCAUGCCUACUGAUAUCAUAAAUAAUGAUAUUCACCAGUACACCCUUUAAGAUGAUGCAAAGUGCCUGUGUGUACAUGUGUGUACAUACAGAAAUUCAAACUACUCCUAAAAACAAAAACCUCAGCUUGUGACAUUUACAUUCAAAGUCUGAACUUUCACAAAGAACAGUUUUGUGGCCACUCAGUUUUGCAGCCUUGGUUUGAAAGUAUUACUUUUUGUCCUGGUUAAACAGUCACUUAUCUCUACGAUAGUAAGCAGGAGUGUUAGUCUACCAGAAAAUUGGAUGUUCUUAAUGGGCUUUGGGGGAGAAUAGCUUUGCAUCAUCAGCAUUAAGUUAAAUCACAUUAAGUACCCACUUACAACAUAGGGAUUACCACUUAUGACAUCUUUGGUGAAAGCCUUUAAAACAAAUUGUUGUGUUUGUUAGAAGAAGCUGUGAGAUAACAAUUCCCAGAAGUCUGAUUUAUAAAUUCUUUUUGCUCUUCAAGAAGAUGCAAAAGAACCCAACACCUCUCAUUCAAUGCUGCAAUGAAAUCUCUCAGGCUGGAAAUUAUUUUCAACAAAAAGUCUUGGAAAAUACUAAUUUAUUUACUUUAGAAUAUUCUUCUGGAAAGAAGAAACUGUUAGACUACCUUUCCUCAGAGUUCAGUUCUAAUUUCUCCUCCAGUUCUUUCUGUUGAUUAAGUCAUUGCCUUUUACAUGUACAAAACUGGAAACAUGUACAAAACUGUUUUUUAUUAUUCAUAAGGCUGAUUGGGGAGAACUGGGUUUAAACUGUCAAAGUAUCCUGCUGUGCUUGGAUACCUGACAGAUUUACACCUCAAAGUACACUGUGGUGCUAAGCUAAAACUGGGUGUGGAGUGUUCUUGCAAGAGCUGAUUACAGUCUCAAUCAAAUAGAAUGCCCGAGGAUAUAACAAAAUAAUGCCAAUGUUUGAUAGAAUUUAACAUUUUUGUAUAUGAUCAGCAAGUUAUUCUGUAUAGAGAUGAAGGCCUGCAUGAAAACUGAGCUCUUAUAUUUAACUUUGAAUAGAAACAGACUAAUGACUUUGAGUAUGUAAAUAAAAAACAUGACCCUAAACUUUUGCCAAAGAUGCAGUAUUAAACAAGUGAAUUAGAGCAAACCCAAUACCUGGUUAUACUGAGCCUUCCUUAAAUGAGCAAAGGGUGCUAUAAGUCUUGUCAAUAAAGAGCCUUCUUUAAAAAACUUGAAUAUUCAAAUAUGCAAUCCUGAGACCCACUCUCCCAAUUUGCUUUGAAAUUCUUUUCCCCUUUAUAACCAAACUGCAUUUUUCUCUGCUGGAACCCCUUGUAAUGAUAUCAGAAUAUUGGCAAACCUCAUUAGUUUCCCUGCUGUCUACAAGACAGGAUUUAUGCUUGUAGUGAACACAAUGACACACGAUCACUAAAUAGCUAAAAACACUAUCGAGACAAAUCUGAGAAUUUUUUUCACCCAGACAUUGCAAGUACUAUUGGUAGGUAAAGGUAUGGAGCCCAGUAUUAAUUACAGCAAACGUCCCCCAGUGCCACACUGCUGCAAGGAGCUCACCAGUGCCAGCUGUUUGUGGAGGCUCAUGGCAUGCAGCCUUUGGCAGGUACCUGCUGUAAGGUAUAAGGUAUGUUGCCAAUCCAAUGCAGUGAGUAAUUACUAAAUUCCCAUGGGACCUGGCUGAAGUCAAAUGUUGCUAUUCCUGGUUCAUUGCUUUUAGUCUCCCUAAAGACCAUUUAGGCAAACAGCUGGAAGAGCUGACUACAAGGCUUCCCAGCCACAGGGAACCACUCCAGGAAAGCAGGUAAAGGCUUCUAACCAGGAAACAAGUUAUCAAAGGAUUUGUCCUGUUGCUCCCUCAAGGAAAGAAAUUAACUGAGACAGAGAGCAAGAGCAUGAACACAUUGGUGUUGCAUGCAGAAUCCAGACACUAAAAGCAAUUGUCUUGGCUGAUGGGAGGAAGAGCUGUGCUGUCAGCGGGCAUGUUCUGCACUGGGCUCCUGCUUGGCAUCUAAACAGGAGGGCUUUCCUUCUCCCUCCAUGCUGGAGUGCCUUACUGAAACAAACCUUUGAGACGUGAAUAGAAGCAAUAGCAGAACUGCAGUUCCAGUACUGUCACUGCUUUGUACUGAUGGAAUAUUCCUCCUCCUAAAGAGAAGUACAGAGGGGAACAACAUCACCAGCUUCAGCUCCAUCUGAACUCAUUAUGCAGAUCUUGCAGCAAGGAGGGCGCUGCCUCCCUGACAACACUCAGAGGAACAGCAACAGAGACAACUCCUGAUGAAGUGACACAGAAAGAGAGCAAAGAGCAGAAAGAAAGGAGUCUUUUCAUCUAUACCGUGUGUGUGUGAGCACACCAAGAGGUGUGUAGUUAGGAACAUACAGA